rnacentral:rRNA from 1 species
CCUACGGGUGGCAGCAGUGGGGAAUAUUGCACAAUGGGGGAAACCCUGAUGCAGCGACGCCGCGUGAGUGAAGAAGUAAUUCGUUACGUAAAGCUCUAUCAGCAGGGAAGAAAAUGACGGUACCUGAGUAAGAAGCCCCGGCUAACUACGUGCCAGCAGCCGCGGUAAUACGUAGGGGGCAAGCGUUAUCCGGAUUUACUGGGUGUAAAGGGAGCGUAGACGGGGUGGCAAGUCUGGAGGGAAAGGCGGGGGCUCAACCCCCGGACUGCUCUGGAAACUGUACGGCUGGAGUGCAGGAGAGGUAAGUGGAAUUGCUAGUGUAGCGGUGAAAGGCGUAGAUAUUAGGAGGAACACCAGUGGCGAAGGCGGCUUACUGGACUGUAACUGACGUUGAGGCUCGAAAGCGUGGGGAGCAAACAGGAUUAGAUACCCCGGUAGUC